AGACUACUCUAUGCGGUGGAUCACUCGGCUCGUGCGU
rnacentral:rRNA from 1 species